rnacentral:rRNA from 1 species
AUUGAACGCUGGCGGCAUGCUUUACACAUGCAAGUCGAACGGCAGCGCGGGGCAACCUGGCGGCGAGUGGCGAACGGGUGAGUAAUAUAUCGGAACGUACCCAAGAGUGGGGGAUAACGUAGCGAAAGUUACGCUAAUACCGCAUACGAUCUCAGGAUGAAAGCAGGGGACCGCAAGGCCUUGUGCUCCUGGAGCGGCCGAUAUCUGAUUAGCUAGUUGGGAGGUAAAGGCUCACCAAGGCGACGAUCAGUAGCUGGUCUGAGAGGACGACCAGCCACACUGGAACUGAGACACGGUCCAGACUCCUACGGGAGGCAGCAGUGGGGAAUUUUGGACAAUGGGCGAAAGCCUGAUCCAGCAAUGCCGCGUGAGUGAAGAAGGCCUCGGUUGUAAG